AUGAUUUGUCUGGUUAAUUCCGAUAACCAACGAAAUAAAAACCUGCUAAUUAGCGGUAAAUACAACAUAUUCUUAAGUAAAUAAGAAUAUAAAUAAAAUAACAAAUAAGAGAAUAUAUUAAGAUGUUAUUAUAAAUUAUGUCUUCUCCCCUGUCCUUCUUGUAUAGUGUUCUUAUUCUAUUUCUUUUCUUACGUAAGAAUGUAUUUACUUGAUUGUAAAGCUUCUUAGAGGGACAUUGUGUGUCUAACACAAGGAAGUUUAAGGCAACAACAGGUCUGUGAUGUCCUUAGAUGAAUUAGGCUGCACGCGUGCUACACUGAUAUAUAUAACGAGUUAUUAAAAGUAUAUCUUUGUAUAUAUGUAUUCUGUAUAUAUAUACAAAAGGUAUAAUUUUCCUCCACUGAAAAGUGUAGGUAAUCUUUAUCAAUAUAUAUCGUGAUGGGGAUAGAUUAUUGCAAUUAUUAAUCUUGAACGAGGAAUGCCUAGUAAGCAUGAUUCAUCAGAUUGUGCUGACUACGUCCCUGCCCUUUGUACACACCGCC
rnacentral:rRNA from 1 species